AAACCAUCAACCAUUCCAGUGAACAAAAUACACGAUCCAACUUCUCCUUUACUAGAGCAUCCCCUUCGCAAUUAUUGGACCAGGGAGAAAGGAAGUCAUUGAAAUCACCUAUACACAGCCACGGCAAGUGAUAUGCAUGGAAGAGUUUGUCCUAGGAUCAAGUGCAACAAAAUCAACAAACUGAUCAUCCGAAUAGACCAAGG